rnacentral:rRNA from 1 species
UACGAAGGGGGCUAGCGUUGUUCGGAUUUACUGGGCGUAAAGCGCACGUAGGCGGUUUGUUAAGUGAGAGGUGAAAUCCCAGAGCUCAACUCUGGAACUGCCUUUCAUACUGGCAAGCUAGAGUCCGGAAGAGGUAAGUGGAACUCCUAGUGUAGAGGUGGAAUUCGUAGAUAUUAGGAAGAACACCAGUGGCGAAGGCGGCUUACUGGUCCGGAACUGACGCUGAGGUGCGAAAGCAUGGGGAGCGAACAGG